UAUGCAAGCUCGACAAAUACUGUGAGUCAUCGGGGAAGCGAAACGCGAGUACAACCGCCCCGUAAAUGAAAUGCACGGGGACAAAAACUGCACUGCCACGCGCUCCACGAAUGAAUCCGUGUAUCUAUGUAUCUAUAUAUCCAUGGAUCUAUGCAUCUAUGUAUCCAUCCAUGGUCGCGACUCAUCAGCACUUGAUGGGCCAGCGCACCCGAAGAUACCAUCCAUCAAUCUUGGCUAUUUCAUCAUAAUAAGUCAGCAGUGGGUUUGAGCUACAAUUCGAUUGCUAAUCUGCUAUAAUUGUUGUGCCUGCUGGUAUUUGUAAACAAAGAGAAUAAUCGCAAGGAACUUGAAUCUAAUCUGCCCGAAUCUUAUCAGUCAAACUUUUGUUGACCUUUCCGGUCGGCGAAGUAUUUGUUUGUGCUCUAUAAGUAGGUCUCCCUGCCGAAUAUCAAAUGCGUUCAACCCGCCGAGACAGCUGGCGCCUCGGCUGAUAGAGUGGAUCUUCCUAUCGGACGAACGGAUGACCAAAUCAUGGCUACACCAACAACACAUUCCUCCCCUGCCUGGACAGAAAUAUGCACCUUGGGGAAAAUGGUGUCGAAGGCCGAAAUAUAAUAAGGGUUAAACAGUC